AUUGAACGCUGGCGGCAUGCCUUACACAUGCAAGUCGAACGGUAACAGGUCUUCGUAUGCUGACGAGUGGCGAACGGGUGCGUAAUACAUCUGAACGUUCCCGAUCGUGGGGGAUAACGAGUCGAAAGCUUUGCUAAUACCUCAUACGAUCUACUGAUUAAAGCGGUGGAUCUUCGGUCCUCGCGCGGACUGAUCUGCCGAUGGCAGAUUAGGUAGUUGGUGUGAUAAAAGCUUACCAAUCCGACGAUCUUUAGAUGGUCUUAGAGGAUGAUCAGCCAAACUGGGACUGAGAAACGGCCAAGACUACUACGGGAGGAAGCAGUGGGGAAUAUUGGACAAUGGGCGAAAGCAUGAUCCAGCAAUGCCGCGUGCAGGAUGAAGGACUUCGGGUUGUAAACUGCUUUUGUACGGAAAGAAAAGAAUCGUUCUAAUAAAGAGGGGUAAUGACGGUACCGUAAGAAUAAGCACCGGCUAACUACGUG
rnacentral:rRNA from 1 species